GGGAUGCUGAGAGCCCUUUGAAGGCUGUGCCGUGGGAUUAUUUUGCUAAACAUAAAAACCCAAAAAGCAGCAGGGCCACUGAUGUGUUUUCGCAAAUUCCAGCAAAUUAAAAAAAUGUGUGCGCAGAAUUCAAUUGGGGGCCAGAGCCUGGCUUUCAUGAAAGAAUAAACUGUUGGCCAAGACAAAGCAGCAGAUUAACUUUUACGGAAUAUGUUUCUCUCCAGGAUGUGGCUCCCACAAGCAGGCUCCUCGUGUCUGUGACGAGAGAUGCCGCUUCAACCUUUAUCUGUAGCCAGUCGAGCCGCAGAGGCCAGCGGCAAGCCUGUAGUAGGACUUAAAAUGGCUCGGCAGCAAAUGUCAGAACUGUUUGAUCUGCUUUUAGAAAAUCACCUUUCAAGGCACUGGAAGAUACUUGACACUUUGCAAAGAGAUUAGAAACUUUUCAGCUGACUUGGAAAAAGAGACCAAGCAGGUUUGAUUCCCGGGGAAGCAGGAGGGGGACCCCAGCAGUGCCCAGGGCCAGGAAGUCUGAAGCCAGUAGCCUUGCUUUAAAGGGAAGAGCCAGCUCCCAGCAUGGCCUCGGCUGCCAGCUCCUGCCCUUGGCAUCUGGGAUGGUCCCAGGAGGUACCCGCUCAGCAUCUGUUCCACUACUGACAGCAGCCUGGUUUUCUUUAGAGAAGGUGCUAGGUUUCUUCAGUGCUCCCGAUCCUUCUCUCUUCUCUGCAUCUAAACCCUUCACCAUUGGACUUUAUGGUUUAUCUCGCUAAAGAAGCAAAGUUUAUGUCCCCACCCCUUGGCUCUGGGCUCAGUUCUGUGGCUUUGGAGAAAAAAUUGAGGCAGAAGUGAUGGUGUGCCCAGUCUGAGCCUCAGCCUCUCACAGGCAUCACUGUUUCUUGUCUUGUGACUUUGCCAUCACCCUGAGGAGGACAUUCAGGGCUAAUCAGCUGGUCCCAGAAGGAGAAGAACAGAGAAUGGGAGCAGAGCUGUUCCAGUGAACUGCCUCAGACAGGCUCAGCCUGGCCAGACCCUCCAGCCAAACCACAGAUGUGCAAGCAAUAAACACUUCCCGUUCUAGGCA
rnacentral:lncRNA from 12 species